GUGUCGGAAACGGAAGUCGAUCUCCCAAUGCAACCGCGAGGAACGCCAUAGGAAUAAUGGAAGGCGGGUGGGUCGCGCUUUCCUCCGCAGUCCUCUUCCUCCCUUCGGCUUCUCCCGCCUCGUCCUCCAAGUUCCGCACCCUCUCGCCACAAGCAAGCAAGCGUGAUCGAAGCGAUGCCACCGCUACCACCACCGCCCUUUGGCUCGUCGCCCAGAACUCAUUGGGCCUCCUAAGGCUGCAGCAUCUCCAACUUGUAUUUGACAACACUCGAUCCAACUGCCAGGAUGCACUGAUAGAUGUGAAGGUCAUCUUUCACCCUUAGUUAAGUUCCCACUCAGAUCUUGCAGCAAGAUAGAUCCGGAAAACCCUACCAGUGCAAAACUUACACUCACAGGAAAGAUAUUUCCAUGGAAGCAUCGAAUAUAGUGGCAUUGUGGCAACUGCUUGAAGAAGACAUAGAAGUUGUAUGGAUGUGGCUGAUAUUCCCAAUCUAAUAUAGUAUUUGGGUUCUGAAUGCUUCACUCUCUACUGCAUUGGAUCAGAUUAAGUGUUGAUGAUGUCUUGGAUUGGUUAUCCUUUAAAAAGAUGUUAUAAUUUGAAAUCCAAUAUUUAUGCAUCACUAUCCACUGAGCAAAUCUAUUCAUUGCAAGAUAUUUACCUCUGCAUGAUUCUUGUCCUUUGCCACCAGUGCUGAAAGAUUGGUUACCUCAGAGGAGAUCUGAGAGCACUUUGUGCAGAAGCCUCUACCUGUGACACUUGUACAAUUUUAUUGUACCUAACUCACCUAAAAGGGAUUUGGCUGGCCACCAGGAGAGCUGCAUUCCAAAGUAAUAAUGGUAGAAGGUGAAGGUGGAAAGGCAUACAUAUGGAUAUCACCCAGGCUAAUAAUAUCUUAAACACAAGCCAAGUAGUAACUGUCUGAGCAGAAAAGAACAUACACAACAAUUAAUAGGAAGAACAAAAGAAUCCCCUUAGAUUGGUGUCAAGAAGUCCCUUCUUUCACCAAGUGUUGAAAGAAUCUGAGGUUUGUUGAAGUCUAUGAUGAGCCUGGCACAAAUGACAAGCAUCUAUGUAACCAUUUUGUUGCAUUUUGGCUCCCAUCUUCUUUACUGCAAUGUAGAUCAUAAUUCUUUGCACAAGAGUUAACUGAUAAGAGUUGAUUCAAAUAUUUUAAUGGUAUCAUGAAAUGAGAAGCAGCUUAAUGAACUACUACUACUACUAUUACUACUUAUGAUGACCUUCUUUGAGAACUAAACUUGAUUAAUACAGUUCACUAAAUAACCUGCUUAACAAAAGAAUUUAUACUGAUGCAAAGAACUGUCAAAACUUGUAGAUGAGAAAAGUUUGAUAGUAGAAAAGGGUUUUGCUAGUUCAACAGCAAACAAAGAAAUUUUUGUCAUUCAAACAUGGGCUGCUCUAUUUUACAGUUUGACUUGAUGCAAUCAGGGCUGCAGCUUGGGUUGUUUGGUUUGACUAUAAAAUUCCUAUUAAAUUGUUUUAGCAGAUUCUUUUUCUUGCAAAUUAAUGAGUCCAUUCUAUGCUGACUUUUAUGUUCUCUCCCUUUUUUUGACU